GCUAAUACCGCAUAACGUCGCAAGACCAAAGUGGGGGACCUUCGGGCCUCACACCAUCGGAUGUGCCCAGAUGGGAUUAGCUAGUAGGUGGGGUAAUGGCUCACCUAGGCGACGAUCCCUAGCUGGUCUGAGAGGAUGACCAGCCACACUGGAACUGAGACACGGUCCAGACUCCUACGGGAGGCAGCAGUGGGGAAUAUUGCACAAUGGGCGCAAGCCUGAUGCAGCCAUGCCGCGUGUAUGAAGAAGGCCUUCGGGUUGUAAAGUACUUUCAGCGGGGAGGAA
rnacentral:rRNA from 1 species